UGGGGAAUUUUGGACAAUGGGGGAAACCCUGAUCCAGCCAUCCCGCGUGUGCGAUGAAGGCCUUCGGGUUGUAAAGCACUUUUGGCAGGAAAGAAACGUCAUGGGUUAAUACCCCGUGAAACUGACGGUACCUGCAGCAUAAGCACCGGCUAACUACGUGCCAGCAGCCGCGGUAAUACGUAGGGUGCAAGCGUUAAUCGGAAUUACUGGGCGUAAAGCGUGCGCAGGCGGUUCGGAAAGAAAGAUGUGAAAUCCCGGAGCUCAACUUUGGAACUGCAUUUUUAACUACCGGGCUAGAGUGUGUCAGAGGGAGGUGGAAUUCCGCGUGUAGCAGUGAAAUGCGUAGAUAUGCAGAGGAACACCGAUGGCGAAGGCAGCCUCCUGGGAUAACACUGACGCUCAUGCACGAAAGCGUGGGGAGCAAACAGG
rnacentral:rRNA from 1 species